UCGAGAAUCUUUCGCAAUGGACGAAAGUCUGACGAAGCGACGCCGUGUGAGCGAAGAAGGCCUUCGGGUUGUAAAGCUCUUUCGCUUGGGAACAAGAAAGUGGUGUGAAUAACACCGCGAUUUGAGGGUACUAGGUAAAGAAGCACCGGCUAACUCCGUGCCAGCAGCUGCGGUAAUACGGAGGGUGCAAGCAUUAAUCGGAAUUAUUGGGCGUAAAGGGCGUGUAGGCGGUUUUGUAAGUCAGAUGUGAAAUUCCAGGACUCAAUUUUGGAGCUGCAUUUGAAACUACAAUGACUAGAGGGUAGGCGGAGAAAACGGAAUUCCACAUGUAGCGGUGAAAUGCGUGGAUAUGUGGAAGAACACCGGUGGCGAAAGCGGUUUUCUAGCUUAUUCCUGACGCUGAUGCGCGAGAGCAAGGGGAGCAAACAGGAUUAGAUACCCGUGUAGUCC
rnacentral:rRNA from 1 species